AUUCGCCCUUAGAGUUUGAUCCUGGCUCAGGAUGAACGCUGGCGGCGUGCCUAACACAUGCAAGUCGAACGAUUAAACUGCUUCGGCAGACAUAGAGUGGCGAACGGGUGAGUAACACGUGACCAACCUGCCUUCCGCUCCGGGAUAGCCUCGUGAAAACGGGAUUAAUACCGGACGACCCGGCGGAGCCGCAUGGCUCCUCCGGCGAAGCCCAGGCGGCGGAAGAUGGGGUCGCGGCCCAUUAGGUAGACGGCGGGGUAGAGGCCCACCGUGCCGACGAUGGGUAGCCGGGUUGAGAGACCGACCGGCCACAUUGGGACUGAGAUACGGCCCAGACUCCUACGGGAGGCAGCAGUGGGGAAUAUUGCGCAAUGGGGGCAACCCUGACGCAGCAACGCCGCGUGCGGGACGACGGCCUUCGGGUUGUAAACCGCUUUCAGCAGGGAAGACAUCGACGGUACCUGCAGAAGAAGCCCCGGCUAACUACGUGCCAGCAGCCGCGGUAAUACGUAGGGGGCGAGCGUUAUCCGGAAUGACUGGGCGUAAAGGGCGUGUAGGCGGCUGUCUAAGUCUGGAGUGAAAGUCCUGCUUUUAAGGUGGGAAUUGCUUUGGAGACUGGAUGGCUUGAGUGCGGAAGAGGUAAGUGGAAUUCCCAGUGUAGCGGUGAAAUGCGUAGAGAUUGGGAGGAACACCAGUGGCGAAGGCGACUUACUGGGCCGUAACUGACGCUGAGGCGCGAAAGCGUGGGGAGCGAACAGGAUUAGAUACCCUGGUAGUCCACGCGGUAAACGAUGAGUGCUAGGUGUAGGGGGUAUCGACCCCUCCUGUGCCGGAGUAAACACAAUAAGCACUCCGCCUGGGGAGUACGGCCGCAAGGUUGAAACUCAAAGGAAUUGACGGGGGCCCGCACAAGCAGCGGAGCAUGUGGUUUAAUUCGAAGCAACGCGAAGAACCUUACCAGGUCUUGACAUCGAUGCAAAGUGUAAGAGAUUACAUGUGUCUUCGGACAGCAGAAGACAGGUGGUGCAUGGUUGUCGUCAGCUCGUGUCGUGAGAUGUUGGGUUAAGUCCCGCAACGAGCGCAACCCCUAUGAUCAGUUACUAACGGGUAAAGCCGAGGACUCUGAUAAGACCGCCGGGGACAACUCGGAGGAAGGUGGGGACGACGUCAAAUCAUCAUGCCCCUUAUGACUUGGGCUACACACGUGCUACAAUGGUGGUUACAAAGAGCAGCGAACUCGUAAGGGCAAGCGAAUCUCAAAAAAGCCAUCUCAGUUCGGAUUGUGGGCUGCAACCCGCCCACAUGAAGUUGGAGUUGCUAGUAAUCGCGGAUCAGAAUGCCGCGGUGAAUACGUUCCCGGGCCUUGCACACACCGCCCGUCA
rnacentral:rRNA from 1 species